CAGGAAAGAACUUGCACAAGCUUUGAAUAUUCCUGAAGUCAAAGUGAAGACAUGGUUCGUCCAUCGGAGAGCAGAAGAGAGGAAGAGUCAGAGGCGUGUAGUAGUACAGAGCACACCUCCUCGUAUUGAAAAGGUCCUUCUCAUUAUCGAUAGGGAUGACUAUCCCUAGAGUGCAAUCUUAGUUCUGGAGCUAGAGGGAAAUCUGGUGACACCUGUACUCAAUGUCCAGCUUCACUAAAAUUCAGCACUCAUGUUAACAAUAAAAUCAUGAAUUUCCAAGUUA